rnacentral:rRNA from 1 species
CAGAGGUGCAAGCGUUAAUCGGAAUUACUGGGCGUAAAGCGCGCGUAGGUGGUUUGUUAAGUUGGAUGUGAAAGCCCCGGGCUCAACCUGGGAACUGCAUCCAAACUGGCAAGCUAGAGUACGGUAGAGGGUGGUGGAAUUUCCUGUGUAGCGGUGAAAUGCGUAGAUAUAGGAAGGAACACCAGUGGCGAAGGCGACCACCUGGACUGAUACUGACACUGAGGUGCGAAAGCGUGGGAGCAAACAGGAUU